rnacentral:lncRNA from 1 species
GAGCAGUCUGCUGGGGCGACGGAGGCUUGGAGCGAGCGGCACCGGGGGUCCCAUCAGGGACGUCUCGCUAGCGGCACGCCGGGCUGGCGAAGCGCGCUCCGGUCCGGGUGGCGAAGCAUCGGCGAGUUCCUAUCGGCCUCGCUCCGGCCCUUUUAUCUGUCUCAGAUUUACUUAAAUCAAUAGACAUCGGCAAAGGCCACCGAGGAGUCCCAGCUGUUUGUAUUAGAUGGAGCUGCCGCGAUGAGCCUUCUCCUUGGGUUUCCAGCUAGCCAGACGGCACGCAUGAGAGACCGGGAGCAGGAGGAGGGGGGAGAGGGAGAGACCCACUGAAAUUCGGCAGGAGACCGCGGGGAAAAUAGCUGGUCGGCAGAGCAUAGAAAUAAAAGCCGCUUCCUGCAACAAUAGCCCGAUCUGCGACCAAUUGAUACAAAGCAGAGGAGGCAAAAGGUAUCGGGCUCGUGUGAACUCCCAGAGUGCAGCGUGGAUAAAAUUACACACACGCAGCAUCUCUUCCCGGCGCGCCGCACGCACCCCCCCACGCUCACACCCCCGCCGGGGGGGGCUGCGGCCGCCGCCCUCCGCCCCGCGCAUCCCCCGCGGGGCUCCGCCGCCCCCUGCCCAGCCCGGUGUACCGGUGCCCGGCGCAGGCGGCCUCGGAAAAAGCGCACGUUAAACGCAGGAGCCGCGGAGAGGGGCUCAGCGCCCGGCUGCUCGGGGGGCUCACGGUGGGAGAGCGUUUUAGUGGGGCAGGUCUUCAGGAUACAGUCGUUUCCAAAUUAGCUUGGACAAAGUAGGGCCCGGCCGGAAAGCAAAAAGUUGUCGUAUACGUCCUCGGAUGCAUUUCCAAGAAGCUGGAGCUAAUCCUUUUUCUUAACUUUGGUGCCUGGGACUCUUCUCACUGGGAAAUGCCAUACAGUCUCCUCUUUCUUCUAGAUGAGAUGUCUGAUAAGGACAGGCGAGUUUCUAUUUCAUUAUGUCUGAAUAUGCCCUGCAUCAGCGAGUUACAUCUCAUAGAUGCGGCAUCUUCGAUGUCUUUACUGAGGCCUUUUUUCGGGCAGGAAGAAAGAUGCCCACCCCUGAACAGACCGACGCAGACAUAGACACACACAUGCACACAUGCACACCUGCAUCCCCUAACCAAAUGUAACGCCUGAACUUGCAAACCCUUUGUCAUGAAAGUAAUCUUUAUUCACGUGAGCAACCCCGCAGGACUAUUCAUGCAAUGGAGAAUUACUCACAUGAGUAAAACUUUGCAGGAUCAGGUCCUGGAUCUAACAACAGCAUUUUAAUUACAGACAAUCCCCAAGCAAUGUGUACAAAAGAGUUUUUUCCUGGACAAUAACAAAGGUUAUUAGCCUGUUCUUUUUUCCCCUUCUUGCUCUUUGGUUUAAAAGGAGGCACCAAUAAUCCAAACCAAAUAAAACUGACCUUUGAACCUUUUCUGC